rnacentral:tRNA from 1 species
AAGUCGUAGCUCAGUUGGUAGAGCACCUGACUUUUAAACAGGUUGUCACAGGUUCGAUCCCUGUCGCGCGUACCA